AGAGUUUGAUCCUGGCUCAGGGUUAACGCUGGCGGCGUGCCUAACACAUGCAAGUCGAACGGUUCUAAGCGCGAGCUUAGGAUAGUGGCGAACGGGUGAGUAAAAGGUAGGAAUCUACCCCUUGGACGGAGAUAGCUACUGGAAACGGUAGGUAAACUUCGAUAAGCCCGAGAGGGGAAAGUGGUGAGACAGCCGAGGGAUGAGCCUACUCUCCAUCAGGUAGUUGGUGAGAUAAAAGCUUACCAAGCCGAUGACGGAUAACCGGUGUGAGAGCAUGAACGGUCACAAGGGCACUGAGAGACGGGCCCUACUCCUACGGGAGGCAGCAGUGGGGAAUCUUGGACAAUGGGCGAAAGCCUGAUCCAGCGACGCCGCGUGGAGGAAGAAGUCCUUCGGGAUGUAAACUUCUGAACUAGCCGAAUAAAAGGCCUGUGGACACACAGGAGAAGAAAGUAGGCUAGGAAAAGUCCCGGCUAACUACGUGCCAGCAGCCGCGGUAAU
rnacentral:rRNA from 1 species